UUGUUCUGUACAUCCAGUUCCUCUUCACAAUCCCCGAACGCCUUCAUCUUCCUCUCUUCUUCACCUGACAUGGUGGCAGAGCGUCAGUGGCCACUGUUUGAUGCCCAGGACUUCAUCGCCCCUCUUCCUCAGCCAUGGAGACGUUUGCAGAGGUCCCGUUAUUUGAGCUGGAUGAAUAUGAGGAAGAGGAUGUUCUCUCUGUGAAGAGCAAAGGCGCCUCUACGUAUGCAUCGUACCCUCUGGCGCCCCCUGCAGGCGUGGAUCCGGACACCUUCAUCUACAUGAACUUCAUGAAGAGUCAUUCCUGCUACGACGCCAUCCCCACCAGCUCCAAACUGGUCAUCUUUGACACCACGCUGCAGGUGAAGAAGGCUUUCUUCGCUCUGGUGGCGAACGGCGUGAGAGCGGCGCCGCUCUGGGACAGCAAGCUGCAGGGUUUCGUAGGUAUGCUGACCAUCACUGACUUCAUCAACAUUCUCCAUCGCUACUACAAGUCUCCUCUGGUUCAGAUCUACGAGCUGGAAGAACACAAGAUAGAGACGUGGAGAGAAAUCUACCUGCAGUACUCCAUAAACACACUCAUCAGUAUCACACCUGAGUCCAGCCUCUUUGAUGCCAUCUACUCCCUGUUAAAGAAUAAGAUCCACCGCCUGCCCGUCAUCGACCCGGCUUCAGGGAACGUCCUCCACAUCCUCACUCACAAACGCAUCCUCAAGUUCCUCCACAUCUUUGGAUCCAUGAUCCCCAAACCCAGGUUUCUCCAGAAGAGGAUCAGUGAGGUGCCGAUCGGUACCUUCAGGCAGAUUGCAACAGUCCAGGAAUCUGCCUCCGUCUACGACGCUCUGACUAUCUUUGUGGAGAGACGAGUGUCGGCUCUGCCUGUGGUCAACGAGCAAGGUAAAGUGGUGGCGCUCUACUCCAGGUUUGACGUCAUUAAUCUGGCAGCACAGAAAACCUACAACCACUUGAACAUGACGAUGCGAGAGGCCGUCGCAUCCAGAUCCUGCUGGGUGGAGGGAGUCCUCAAGUGUUAUCCGCAUGAAACUCUGGAGACCAUCAUCGACCGCAUCGCGAAGGCUGAGGUGCAUCGGCUGGUGUUGGUCGACAGUGACGACAUGGUGCGAGGGAUCGUCUCGCUGUCUGACCUCCUGCAAGCCCUGGUCCUCUCUCCCGCAGGUAUUGAUGCUCUCUACUCCUAACAUUCAGCCCCUCCUCCUCAGUCUUCUGGCUUCCUCCAUCCAGCUAUCUGCCAGCCGAGCUUCGACAGCUUCAUCUUUCAGUCCCACGGCACGCUCCUCCUCUUCCUGUGAAAUCUCUAAUCCUUUCAGCUGUCAUCCCACUUUUCCUGCCAGGAAUGAUUGUCCUUAUUAAAGACACCGAAUCCCUGAAACCUCCUGCUCCUCCAGCAACAACCACCUCCUCUGAAAGCAUCCAGUCAACUAACCGUCUUUCCUGAAACCUUCCACUCUGAGCCCCUCAGCAGAAACUUCACCUGGAGUCUUUCCUGAGCUCUUCCAUCCCCCCAGAUCCCCUCAUUUCAGACAGAAAUACAACCUGAAUCUACAAAAACCUUGAAAACAAAAUCCUCUUCUCUAAAAUCUACAACCCUGAAGCUCUACCGGUUUCCUGUCAUCCCUCGAACAGCCCUUGGUUCGGACAUCAACCCUCCAGCGUCCUCUGUCACUUCACGCUGCUGCUCUGAAGCCGCCAGCGCCUCCCAGACAUUUACCAGCAUUCGUCCUCUGAAGACGAGGACGCUGUAAACCGGGACUUGUGGAGCUCAGAGGACUUGCAGCUGAGAGGUUACCAGUUUCCUUCCUCAUGACGAGCACAAAGCCAAACGUGAAGGCAGGAAAGGACUAAAACUGCUGUUUUACUCCCAUCAUGAAGAGCUGUGAUGCACAUCCAGACUUUUUUAAACUGACUUUGAUUUUAAAAGAACUAUUCCGGGGUUUGUUUGGAUAUUUUCCAUCCACUUUGGGAAAAACAGACAAAGGUGCACCUCAUAUGUGAGAAAUUAAUGUUCUGCUAUGCUUUGGUCGCACUGCUUUCAUGCUUUCAUGCCAUUUUAUAUGUUGACGACAGAAUAACCUGCAGUAGGAAUAAAUUCAGAGGCAGAGUUUUUGAGAAAUGGUGUUUUUGUCAUGUUGGUAUCAUUUAAAUGUGUCAGAUGCACCACCUCAGAGAAACGGGUUUUAAUUCCUCAUUAAAACAUCCCUGCUUCCA